UGGGGAAUUUUGGACAAUGGGCGAAAGCCUGAUCCAGCAAUGCCGCGUGUGUGAAGAAGGCCUUCGGGUUGUAAAGCACUUUUGUCCGGAAAGAAAUCCUUGGCUCUAAUACAGUCGGGGGAUGACGGUACCGGAAGAAUAAGCACCGGCUAACUACGUGCCAGCAGCCGCGGUAAUACGUAGGGUGCAAGCGUUAAUCGGAAUUACUGGGCGUAAAGCGUGCGCAGGCGGUUUGCUAAGACCGAUGUGAAAUCCCCGGGCUCAACCUGGGAACUGCAUUGGUGACUGGCAGGCUAGAGUAUGGCAGAGGGGGGUAGAAUUCCACGUGUAGCAGUGAAAUGCGUAGAGAUGUGGAGGAAUACCGAUGGCGAAGGCAGCCCCCUGGGCCAAUACUGACGCUCAUGCACGAAAGCGUGGGGAGCAAAACAGGAUUAGAUACCCUGGUAGUCCACGCCCUAAACGAUGUCAACUAGUUGUCGGGUCUUCAUUGACUUGGUAACGUAGCUAACGCGUGAAGUUGACCGCCUGGGGAGUACGGUCGCAAGAUUAAAAACUC
rnacentral:rRNA from 1 species